UCCCUCUCUGGAUCGUACUUGGAGAGUUUCCAGUACUCUACCAGUCUCAACUAUGGGAGGGAGAGUCAAGCAGAGGCAUACCCAUUCCACUCCCAGCUUGGGAUAGUGGCUAGUGAGUGGAAGGCAAUCUGCUACAAAU